AGAGUUUGAUCCUGGCUCAGAGCGAACGCUGGCGGCAGGCUUAACACAUGCAAGUCGAGCGGGCAUAGCAAUAUGUCAGCGGCAGACGGGUGAGUAACGCGUGGGAACAUACCUUUUGGUUCGGAACAACACAGGGAAACUUGUGCUAAUACCGGAUAAGCCCUUACGGGGAAAGAUUUAUCGCCGAAAGAUUGGCCCGCGUCUGAUUAGCUAGUUGGUGAGGUAACGGCUCACCAAGGCGACGAUCAGUAGCUGGUCUGAGAGGAUGAUCAGCCACAUUGGGACUGAGACACGGCCCAAACUCCUACGGGAGGCAGCAGUGGGGAAUAUUGGACAAUGGGCGCAAGCCUGAUCCAGCCAUGCCGCGUGAGUGAUGAAGGCCCUAGGGUUGUAAAGCUCUUUUGUGCGGGAAGAUAAUGACGGUACCGCAAGAAUAAGCCCCGGCUAACUUCGUGCCAGCAGCCGCGGUAAUACGAAGGGGGCUAGCGUUGCUCGGAAUCACUGGGCGUAAAGGGUGCGUAGGCGGGUCUUUAAGUCAGGGGUGAAAUCCUGGAGCUCAACUCCAGAACUGCCUUUGAUACUGAGGAUCUUGAGUUCGGGAGAGGUGAGUGGAACUGCGAGUGUAGAGGUGAAAUUCGUAGAUAUUCGCAAGAACACCAGUGGCGAAGGCGGCUCACUGGCCCGAUACUGACGCUGAGGCACGAAAGCGUGGGGAGCAAACAGGAUUAGAUACCCUAGUAGUCC
rnacentral:rRNA from 1 species